rnacentral:siRNA from 1 species
CUUUACUGUUACUCGACCUGGUAC